CAAAUACAAAGUUAUAGCUGGCAAGACAAGACGCGAUGAGUUGAUAAAUGUAGUGUGUUUUUCGUUUUUAAAUUUGAAAUAAUGUUUUGAUGAAGACAAUUUUAAAAGAAUAUUUCGUUAAGUAAAAGUAUGAUAUAAGUGAAUACUGUUUGAAAAUCGAAACCGUGACGAUGAGCAAACACCAAGAAAUGGAGUGUCCACCGGCUGCCAACUGUGAUGCGGACGAAGACGAAUGGAAGAAAAUGAGCUUAACGUCAAAAGCAGCCUUCGUGGCCCGAAACGUGACGGUAGAACCGAUGCUGGGCGUAUUCCAGCUUUCCAUGAUCAUGUCCAGCUUGACCACACAAAAUCUGAACAUGCAAAAGGCUUGCCGAGUGAACUUGAAUCUGGACAAGACGGCGUGCUUUGCCCUGGAGAAUAAAAACGCCUCAUCUUUCCCGGCCGAAGAGGUGGCAGUGCAGCAAAUGGUGACCAAGAUGAUGUUAUGGCAAAGCCUCUUCCAGAACAUGAUACCGUGUGUUCUGGUGAUGUUCGUCGGUUCGUGGAGCGACCGGAACCGGAAGCGGAAGCCGUUCAUGCUGUUGCCAAUAAUCGGCGAGCUCGUGCGCAAUAUCGGCUUAAUUGCUUGCGUGUACUUCUUUUACGAGUUGCCGAUGGAGAUAGCAGGUAUUGUCGAGACGGUCCCAUCUGCUAUUUCGGGUGGUCUUCCAGUACUGAUACUAGCCGUGUUCGCGUACGUGGGGGACAUAAGCACAGUUAAAAACAGGACAGUUCGAGUUGGGUUUGUAAGUUUAUUUUUUUCGGUCAGUGUCACAUUUGGAUCAGCAUUAUCCGGCAUCGUGUUUCGAGAUUAUGGUUUUUACGGCGUGUACAUUAUAUCCACUGCAUUGUAUUUGUUCAGCUUCAUAUACUGUAUAAUUGUCAUCAAAGAUAUUAAGCCCGACGUAGAAAAAUAUCAUGGACCCCAUAGUGCCGUUGAACAUUGCAAAAAAUCAUUUCUUCUCGAGAUAACCGAUUUCUUUGACUUGAAACAUGUAAAAGAAGCGAUUCGAGUUACAUUUAAGCGAAGAAAUGACGACAACCGAAGAAACGACAUUAUACUGUUGUUUGUUAUCAUGGUCAUUAUUUUGGGUCCUCUGAGCGGUGAACAAACAUUGAUGUAUUUGUUGGUUCGAGUUAAAUUCGGUUGGAAUGAAGUAGACUUCAGUGUCUUCUCCACGUAUUACUUUAUUUGUAAUCUCGUAGGUAUUGGAUUCGCAUUGUGGAUUCUGGUUAAUCGUUUGGGUAUUGACGACAGACUGAUCGGAGCAAUUGGAUGUCUGAGCAAAGGAUUGGCUUCUUUCGUUUACGCCUUUGCGCCGACCGAAUUUUUAUUCUACCUAGGUCCGAUUGUCGACAUUUUUCACGGUACAGCACUUGUUGCAUUUAGGGCGAUACUCUCAAAACUCGUUCCGGCAAAUCAACUAGGCCAAGCGUUGGCGGUAUCUUCACUCGUCGAAACUAUAGUUCCUGCAAUAUUCAGACCACUGUACAGUGUAAUUUAUUAUAAGACACUACACUAUAUACCUGGCGCAUUUUACGUACUUGGUGGAGUGCUUAAUUUUUUCGGCAUCAUUGUUUUUAUAUGGAUGUACAACCGUACACAACAGAAGAGCGUAAAAACGAAUGAUUCAGAAAUGCCAAAGUUGCAAAAUUGAUUUAACUCUAAAGUAUCACGUCACAAUGGAUACCCGCAAGAUUUUUAUACUUCCCUUAAUGUGAACUAUAUAUAUUUUUUUAAUUAGAUUGAUGUACAAGAAAAAAAAACAAAAUGAAAAAUGUAAAUACGUCGAAGAGAAACAAGCCUUAUCGGCAGAACCUAGAAGUGAGCAUCCAUAAAACCACAUUGAAAUUUGUUAAAAUUAUUAAUAUUGUUUUAAAUUAUU
rnacentral:misc_RNA from 1 species